rnacentral:lncRNA from 1 species
GCUCCGUCAUGCUCAGGCACAGGGACUCCAGCCUGUUGUUGAUGUCAGGUUCAGUCACCGGCACCUGGAACUCUGGCUGCUGGAACAUCAGCAUGGUCUGCGGGGAGGUGUGCACCGGCAGCGAGCGCGUCCUCUGCACUGAGCUGUGGCUCCGGCUGGGCAUGCUGUUGCUGCCCCCUGGGUUGGCAAACCAGAGGUUCUGUCUGCCUUGCUUG